UAUUGGACAAUGGGGGCAACCCUGAUCCAGCCAUGCCGCGUGUGUGCAGACGGUCUUCGGAUUGUAAAGCACUUUAAGUUGGGAGGAAGGGCUUAAGGCUAAUACCCUGAAGUUUUGACGUUACCAAUAGAAUACGCCCCGGCCAACUCUGUGCAAGCAGCCGCGGUAAUACCGAGGGUGCAAGCGUUAAUCGGAAUUACUGGGCGUAAAGCUCGCGUAGGUGGUUCAGUAAGAUGGGUGUGAAAUCCCCGGGCUUAACCUGGGAACUGCUUUCAUAACUGCUGAGCUAGAGUACGGUAGAGGGUAGUGGAAUUUCCUGUGUAGCGGUGAAAUGCGUAGAUAUAGGAAGGAACACCAGUGGCGAAGGCGACUACCUGGACUGAUACUGACACUGAGGUGCGAAAGCGUGGGGAGCAAA
rnacentral:rRNA from 1 species